CAAUAGCGUAUAUUAAAGUUGUUGCGGUUAAAAAGCUCGUAGUUGGAUUUCUGCCGAGGACGACCGGUCCGCCCUCUGGGUGAGCAUCUGGCUCGGCCUGGGCAUCUUCUUGGAGAACGUAUCUGCACUUGACUGUGUGGUGCGGUAUCCAGGACUUUUACUUUGAGGAAAUUAGAGUGUUUCAAGCAGGCAUGCGCCUUGAAUACAUUAGCAUGGAAUAAUAAGAUAGGACCUCGGUUCUAUUUUGUUGGUUUCUAGAGCUUAGGUAAUGAUUAAAAAGGGGCAGUCAGGGGGCACUCGUAUUCCGUCGAGAGAGGUGAAAUUCUCAGACCAAUGGAAGACGAACCACUGCGAAAAGCAUUUGCCAGGGGAUGUUUUUCACUGAUCAAGAACGAAAGUUAGGGGAUCAAAGAUGAUCAGAU
rnacentral:rRNA from 1 species